GAUGAACGCUAGCGGGAGGCUUAACACAUGCAAGUCGAGCGGGAUUCGCCUUCGGGCGAUGAGAGCGGCGGACGGGUGCGUAACGCGUAUGCAACCUGCCUUAUACAGGGGGAUAGCCCAUGGAAACGUGGAUUAACAUCCCAUAGAAUCUCGGCCCCGCAUGGGGCUGCGAUUAAAACCGAGGUGGUAUAAGAUGGGCAUGCGUCCGAUUAGGUAGUUGGUGGGGUAACGGCCCACCAAGCCGACGAUCGGUAGGGGUCCUGAGAGGGUUACCCCCCACACUGGUACUGAGACACGGACCAGACUCCUACGGGAGGCAGCAGUGAGGAAUAUUGGUCAAUGGGCGAAAGCCUGAACCAGCCAUCCCGCGUGCAGGAUGACGGCCCUAUGGGUUGUAAACUGCUUUUCCGUCGCCAAGAAACCUAGCCAACGUGUUGGCAGCUGACGGUAGCGCGGGAAUAAGCACCGGCUAACUCCGUGCCAGCAGCCGCGGUAAAGUACAGUGU
rnacentral:rRNA from 1 species